CGGGCCCUGGAAACAGCAUCUACAGUGUGGUUUGUUACAGCGUCCACAGCCCUCCACCCACACCAGCCCUGCCGAGGCCUCCUGCCUUACCUUCAGGACAGCGAAGGAGAAGAAACAGUGUCCAUCUUGCCCACUGAUGGAACCCUGGUGCUGAGACACAAACACUCUCUCUCACUCCUCGACACCUACCACUUAGCUACCUGGUUUCCUAUGAGCAGGAGGCCAAGCUUUGGAUGAGGAGAUCACAUCCCCAGGAGGACGGCCCAUCCCAGGAACAGUAAAACCAGAUGCAAAG
rnacentral:lncRNA from 1 species